GCGAGUUGCCAUAGCAACUCGCCCUCUUGCCGACACGUGCAGGCUCUCGGGUGCCGCUUUCUGUUCAGAGUUGGAGCUGGAGAGUGUCUACAAGGCACAUAGUCAGACUUGCCGAACCACAGGAAUCAGCAGGUU
rnacentral:lncRNA from 1 species